GACGAACGCUGGCGGCGUGCCUAAUACAUGCAAGUCGAGCGAACAGAUAAGGAGCUUGCUCCUUUGACGUUAGCGGCGGACGGGUGAGUAACACGUGGGUAACCUACCUAUAAGACUGGAAUAACUCCGGGAAACCGGGGCUAAUGCCGGAUAACAUUUAGAACCGCAUGGUUCUAAAGUGAAAGAUGGUUUUGCUAUCACUUAUAGAUGGACCCGCGCCGUAUUAGCUAGUUGGUAAGGUAACGGCUUACCAAGGCAACGAUACGUAGCCGACCUGAGAGGGUGAUCGGCCACACUGGAACUGAGACACGGUCCAGACUCCUACGGGAGGCAGCAGUAGGGAAUCUUCCGCAAUGGGCGAAAGCCUGACGGAGCAACGCCGCGUGAGUGAUGAAGGUCUUCGGAUCGUAAAACUCUGUUAUUAGGGAAGAACAAAUGUGUAAGUAACUGUGCACGUCUUGACGGUACCUAAUCAGAAAGCCACGGCUAACUACGUG
rnacentral:rRNA from 1 species